GUGCUUGCUUCAGCAGCGCGUAUACUAACACGGGAACAGCACAGAGAAGAUUAGCAUGGCCCCUGUGCAAGGAUGACACACAAAUCCGAGAAGCAUUCCAUAUUUUU